rnacentral:rRNA from 1 species
GAUGAACGCUGGCGGCGUGCCUAAUACAUGCAAGUCGAGCGAACGGACAAGAAGCUUGCUUCUCUGAUGUUAGCGGCGGACGGGUGAGUAACACGCGGAUAACCUACCUAUAAGACUGGGAUAACUUCGGGAAACCGGAGCUAAUACCGGAUAAUAUUUUGAACCGCAUGGUUCAAAAGUGAAAGACGGUCUUGCUGUCACUUAUAGAUGGAUCCGCGCUGCAUUAGCUAGUUGGUAAGGUAACGGCUUACCAAGGCAACGAUGCAUAGCCGACCUGAGAGGGUGAUCGGCCACACUGGAACUGAGACACGGUCCAGACUCCUACGGGAGGCAGCAGUAGGGAAUCUUCCGCAAUGGGCGAAAGCCUGACGGAGCAACGCCGCGUGAGUGAUGAAGGUCUUCGGAUCGUAAAACUCUGUUAUUAGGGAAGAACAUAUGUGUAAGUAACUGUGCACAUCUUGACGGUACCUAAUCAGAAAGCCACGGCUAACUACGUG